rnacentral:lncRNA from 1 species
GAACAGUUAGGGCCCAGGUGAGGCCAUCAGGAUGGCAGCCCUACCCCCCGGGUGACCAGAGCGCCCCAGGCAUCACUUAUGAUCCCUUAAAAAUCCGUUUAAAUACUGACUUAGGGACAUUUAAUUUUCUUUCGAAGCCGCGGGGAGAAGAGGAGAUCCUAGAGGGACUGAUCCAGCGAGUGAGUGUGUAGGACGGUCGCUCUUCCAGUGCCAGGAGUGGCGGAUGUUCCUCGAACCUGGAAGAGGACUUUGCCGGCGUCCUUUCCUGGCCUCUGCGGGAAUGCAGGGCGCCCCCUCGCUGUCACCGUCACCCACUUUAUACGGCGCCUCCCUGGCUGGACCUACACUCUCCGCCGCUCGGCUCGUUCACACCAGGAGAGCCGUCCAGCCGAUACAGGCCCAUUGUCGGUGCCUGCCACGGUUUGGGGUGCGAGCAGGAGGCCCCAUGGGAGCGGUCUGCGGGGGUCCAGGCUGGAGGGUGCUCCUGCGAGUCCUGCCCCUGCUCUUCUUGCUGCAGCCCCUUCCUGGGGUCAGCUCGAGGGAAGGUAAGUCCACAUCUACCAACAUCUUAGCAGCUCCCCUCACCUUUCCUGCAACACGAUUACCGAAUUCACCCCUCUCUGAGGCUGUGUGUGCUGGUGGGGGAGGCUUGGGGCAUCUAAAGAGGACAAUGAAUGUGUGCAUGCCCGCGUGUGGGGUCUCUGGGAGCAGAACGCACGUGAGGGUAGGAGUAAUGUGCCAGGUGCGAGCCCAGCUUAAGCUCCAUCCAGGGGCAGGGAGGGGGGAGGGAGUCCCGUCUGUGGUCACAGCAGAACCCAGAUCUGCACUGAGGUGGACCGUGUGUGGACCAUGCUGCCCUUGUUCACUGGGCAUUAAAUCCCAAAUACGGAAUUGGUGGUUAAAAAAAAUUCUAAAUAGGUGGCUUUUAUUCAUUGAAAUUUAGCAAAAACCACAGGGGAUUGGAUGGCUGUAUUGGGUACUUUGCCUCCUGGAAGGUUCUCCCAGGGGUUCAGUCCUGGUGCAGGGAAGCUGUGGGGAGAAGUCUCCAGGACAGGUAGGUGACUUCCUGGCAGAGUCGUGGUGGCUCCUCGUGAGGAGCUUCGAUGGCCGUUUCUUAAAGCCACUAACUGAUUCCAUCCGGAGCAUCUGUCCUAAAAGCUCCUAUGACAUUGUCCCAUCUGCUGCAGAGCGGGCCACCCUCUCACCUCCGUGGCGCCCCUGCG